rnacentral:rRNA from 1 species
ACUCUUUUUAUUUUUUGUAGAAAUUUGAUUUCAUUGCUGAGUGGCAUAAACUAUAAAAAAGUUAAAACUUUCAACAACGGAUCUCUUGGCUCUAGCAUCGAUGAAGAACGCAGCGAAAUGCGAUAAGUAAUGUGAAUUGCAGAAUUCAGUGAAUCAUCGAAUCUUUGAACGCACAUUGCGCCUG